rnacentral:ncRNA from 1 species
GAGGGACGGCCCCUCGGAACCGGCUUACAGGAGCGGGUUCCAAACCGCCGCUAAGCUGCUUUAGUUAAAUGCUUUGGUAGUGAGCGUUAGCGGAAAAGGCAUCAUUAAAGGUGUCAGGU